UUUCUUUUUUUUUUCCCCUGCCCUUUUUAUAUUAUUUUUACUUUCCCCAACCCCUGUCAUUUAAAAAUCACAUAAUUAAUUGAGCACAUCCUGUGCCACACGGGGCUGCCACGACUUUGAAGUCCCAAUAGAUCAUCUUAUAGAGCCCUGGGUACCAUUUUUUCCGAGGCAGCACCAGGCGCCAGCGCGAGGCCUUGUGGAAUUCAGCAUAUCCUACUCCAGGGAAGUGUGGUCUGAUUUAGCAUCAUGGAGCUGGGAGCUGUUACUGAUCCUGCAGCAGCAGUGAGG